rnacentral:rRNA from 1 species
GGCAGACGGGUGUGUAACGCGUGGGAAUCUACCGUACCCUACGGAAUAGCUCUGGGAAACUGGAGGUAAUACCGUAUACGCCCGAAAGGGGAAAGAUUUUAUCGGGGUAUGAUGAGCCCGCGUUGGAUUAGCUAGUUGGUGGGGUAAAGGCCUACCAAGGCGACGAUCCAUAGCUGGUCUGAGAGGAUGAUCAGCCACAUUGGGACUGAGACACGGCCCAAACUCCUACGGGAGGCAGCAGUGGGGAAUAUUGGACAAUGGGCGCAAGCCUGAUCCAGCCAUGCCGCGUGAGUGAUGAAGGUCUUAGGAUUGUAAAGCUCUUUCACCGAUGAAGAUAAUGACGGUAGUCGGAGAAGAAGCCCCGGCUAACUUCGUGCCAGCAGCCGCGGUAAUACGAAGGGGGCUAGCGUUGUUCGGAAUUACUGGGCGUAAAGCGCACGUAGGCGGGUAUUUAAGUCAGGGGUGAAAUCCCGCAGCUCAACUGCGGAACUGCCUUUGAUACUGGGUAUCUUGAGUAUGGAAGAGGUAAGUGGAAUUGCGAGUGUAGAGGUGAAAUUCGUAGAUAUUCGCAGGAACACCAGUGGCGAAGGCGGCUUACU